AUUUUAAAUCUAGCCCAAACACAAUAAUUAUCCGCCAUCCAAUAGAUAAACCAUUUUUAUAUAAUAGUAUGGGAGACAAAAAAUUUAUUUAGCGCAAUAUAAAAAGUACUGCAAAGGAAAGAUGAAAUAGAAAUGAAACAAAAUUAAAAUACAAAAAAGCAAAGACCAUAACUUUUACCUUUAGCAUAAUGAUUUAGCAAGUCCACAUUAACAAAAAGAACUUCAGUUCUAUGCCCCGAAACCAGACGAGCUACCCAAAGACAGCAAACACUGAGCAAACUCUUCUCUGUAGCAAAAGAGUGAGAAGAGCUUUUGGUAGAGGCGAAAAACCUAACGAGCCUGGAUAUAGCUGGUUGCUUGAGAAUGAAUUUUAGUUCAACCAAAAGCAUAAAUAAUAUAAAAAAUUAUGCUUUUGAUAUAGUUAAUUGAGGUACAGCCCAAUUAAUAAAGGAAACAACCUA
rnacentral:rRNA from 1 species